rnacentral:rRNA from 1 species
AUUGAACGCUGGCGGCAGGCCUAACACAUGCAAGUCGAGCGGAUGAAGGGGGCUUGCUCCUGGAUUCAGCGGCGGACGGGUGAGUAAUGCCUAGGAAUCUGCCUGGUAGUGGGGGAUAACGUCCGGAAACGGGCGCUAAUACCGCAUACGUCCUGAGGGAGAAAGUGGGGGAUCUUCGGACCUCACGCUAUCAGAUGAGCCUAGGUCGGAUUAGCUAGUUGGUGGGGUAAAGGCCUACCAAGGCGACGAUCCGUAACUGGUCUGAGAGGAUGAUCAGUCACACUGGAACUGAGACACGGUCCAGACUCCUACGGGAGGCAGCAGUGGGGAAUAUUGGACAAUGGGCGAAAGCCUGAUCCAGCCAUGCCGCGUGUGUGAAGAAGGUCUUCGGAUUGUAAAGCACUUUAAGUUGGGAGGAAGGGCAGUAAGUUAAUACCUUGCUGUUUUGACGUUACCAACAGAAUAAGCACCGGCUAACUUCGUA